UNGGAGAGGAAAGUGGAAUUCCUAGUGUAGCGGUGAAAUGCGUAGAUAUUAGGAAGAACACCAGUGGCGAAGGCGACUUUCUGGACGAAAACUGACGCUGAGGCGCGAAAGCCAGGGGAGCGAACGGGAUUAGAUACCCCGGUANUCCUGGCCGUAAACGAUGGGUACUAGGUGUAGGAGGUAUCGACCCCUUCUGUGCCGGAGUUAACGCAAUAAGUACCCCGCCUGGGGAGUACGACCGCAAGGUUGAAACUCAAAGGAAUUGACGGGGGCCCGCACAAGCGGUGGAGUAUGUGGUUUAAUUCGACGCAACGCGAAGAACCUUACCAGGUCUUGACAUUGAUGGACAGAACCAGAGAUGGUUCCUCUUCUUCGGAAGCCAGAAAACAGGUGGUGCACGGUUGUCGUCAGCUCGUGUCGUGAGAUGUUGGGUUAAGUCCCGCAACGAGCGCAACCCCUAUCUUAUGUUGCCAGCACGUAAUGGUGGGAACUCAUGAGAGACUGCCGCAGACAAUGCGGAGGAAGGCGGGGAUGACGUCAAAUCAUCAUGCCCCUUAUGACCUGGGCUACACACGUACUACAAUGGGAGUUAAUAGACGGAAGCGAGAUCGCGAGAUGGAGCAAACCCGAGAAACACUCUCUCAGUUCGGAUCGUAGGCUGCAACUCGCCUACGUGAAGUCGGAAUCGCUAGUAAUCGCAGGUCAGCAUACUGCGGUGAAUACGUUCCCGGGCCUUGUACACACCGCCCGUCACACCACGAAAGUCGGAAGUGCCCAAAGCCGGUGGGGUAACCUUCGGGAGCCANC
rnacentral:rRNA from 1 species